rnacentral:tRNA from 2 species
AGCCCGGUAGUGUAGUGGCAAGCAUGGGGGAUUCUGGAUCCCUUGACCUCGGUUCGAGUCCGAGCCGGGCUA